GGCGAACGGGUGAGUAACGCGUGAGAAACCUGCCUUCAACAGGGGGAUAACACUCCCAACGGGGUGCUAAUACCGCAUGAGACCACGGAGUCGCAUGACUCUGAGGUCAAAGGUGGCCUCUGCUUGCAAGCUACCGGUUGAAGAUGGUCUCGCGUCCCAUUAGCUAGUUGGCGGGGUAAUGGCCCACCAAGGCGACGAUGGGUAGCUGGUCUGAGAGGAUGGUCAGCCACACUGGGACUGAGAUACGGCCCAGACUCCUACGGGAGGCAGCAGUCGAGAGGCUUCGGCAAUGGGGGAAACCCUGACCGAGCGACGCCGCGUGAGGGAUGAAGGCCCUUGGGUUGUAAACCUCUUGUGUUCGGGAAGAAGUGCGAUCAGGUGAACAAUCUGGUCGUUUGACGGUACCGGACGAAUAAGCUCCGGCUAACUCCGUGCCAGCCGCCGCGG
rnacentral:rRNA from 1 species